GACGAACGCUGGCGGCGUGCUUAACACAUGCAAGUCGAGCGGUAAGGCCCUUUCGGGGGUACACGAGCGGCGAACGGGUGAGUAACACGUGGGUGACCUGCCCUCAGCUCUGGGGAUAAGCCUGGGAAACCGGGUCUAAUACUGGAUAUGACUCCAUGACGCAUGUUGUGGGGUGGAAAGCCUUGUGCGGCUGAGGAUGGGCCCGCGGCCUAUCAGCUUGUUGGUGGGGNGAUGGCCUACCAAGGCGACGACGGGUAGCCGGCCUGAGAGGGCGACCGGGCCACACUGGGACUGAGACACGGCCCAGACUCCUACGGGAGGCAGCAGUGGGGAAUCUUGCGCAAUGGGCGAAAGCCUGACGCAGCGACGCCGCGUGAGGGAUGACGGCCUGGUGU
rnacentral:rRNA from 1 species